UUGAAACACCGGUUCUCGUACGAUCACUGAAGUUAAGCAACGUCAAACUCAGUCAGUACCUAGAUGGGUGAUCUCUUGCGAAUACCAGGUGCU